UACGUAGGGAGCAAGCGUUGUCCGGAAUCAUUGGGCGUAAAGCGCGCGUAGGUGGCCUCAUAAGUCCGUUGUGAAAGUCAAAGGCUCAACCUUUGAAAGCCGAUGGAUACUGUGAGACUAGAGUACGGAAGAGGCGAGUGGAAUUCCUGGUGUAGCGGUGAAAUGCGCAGAUAUCAGGAGGAACACCGAUGGCGAAGGCAGCUCGCUGGGACGGUACUGACGCUGAGACGCGAAAGCGUGGGGAGCAAACAGG
rnacentral:rRNA from 1 species